rnacentral:rRNA from 1 species
CCUACGUGAGGCAGCAGUGAGGAAUAUUGGUCAAUGGGCGCGAGCCUGAACCAGCCAAGUAGCGUGAAGGAUGACUGCCCUACGGGUUGUAAACUUCUUUUAUAAAGGAAUAAAGUGAGGCACGUGUGCCUUUUUGUAUGUACUUUAUGAAUAAGGAUCGGCUAACUCCGUGCCAGCAGCCGCGGUAAUACGGAGGAUCCGAGCUUUAUCCGGAUUUAUUGGGUUUAAAGGGAGCGUAGAUGGGUUGUUAAGUCAGUGGUGAAAGUUUGCGGCUCAACCGUAAAAUUGCAAUUGAUACUGGCAGUCUUGAGUACAGUUGAGGUAGGCGGAAUUCGUGGUGUAGCGGUGAAAUGCUUAGAUAUCACGAAGAACUCCGAUUGCGAAGGCAGCUUACUAAACUGCCACUGACAUUGAUGCUCGAAAGUGUGGGUAUCAAACAGGAUUAGAUACCCUUGUAGUC